rnacentral:tmRNA from 1 species
GGGGCCGACCGGUUUCGACAGCAAGGCGAACGGUUGUGUAAGCAUGCCGAGCAUUUGGGAGUGUUGCUCGUAAAUCCAAAACUCCAAGCCUAUAAAUGGCGAAGCUGAUUAUGCACUCGCAGCCUAAUCUUACCAAGUAAGAGGGCUUAAUUCCGGAUGAAGCACAGUAGUCCGGAACGAGUACUCCCGGCAAGAGUUUGUUUGCCGCUUUUGCCGUAAGGGAGUAUCAUCAAGUGCAAACUAGCUGCAAAAUUGCCUCGGUUUUGCAGCGAAGUUUUAAGAGGCUAAGCUUUCGAAUCGGUCGUCUGCAACCUGUUCGAAAGCCGACAAUCAAAUGCAGACUAAGCAUGUAGAAAGCACAAUGGUUGCUUGUUUGGACGAGGGUUCGAUUCCCUCCGGCUCCACUU